CUCUAGGUAAUUUACACCACUAUAAGCUUUUAUCAAUUUCUUAAUUUUGGCAGAAAAUUCCUUAACAUUGUGUAGCAGUGUUAAUCUCAGUCUAGUCAGUAUUCUAACCACUUUUUAAUUCUCUUUAAACCUCUUACAUAUAGAAGCCUGUGAUUUGACCAUUUUGCUGGCUCAGAAUGUAUGAGUGCUAUCUGAGCCAGCACGAAAGGAACAGGAUUUAAUUUUUUUUUCUUUAAAGCUUAUACAAUUAACAGAGUGAGGGAAAACCUAUCUUCCCCUUACAGGCGCCCUGCCGGCAAGAGAGAAGAUAACGUCAGUUG